UACAGAGACUGCAAGCGUUAUUCGGAUUCACUGGGCGUAAAGGGUGCGCAGGCGGCCAAGUGUGUGAGGCGUGAAAGCCUGGAGCUUAACUCCAGAAUUGCACCUCAAACUACAUGGCUAGAGCAUUGGAGAGGGUAGCGGAAUUCACGGUGUAGCAGUGAAAUGCGUAGAUAUCGUGAGGAACACCAGAGGCGAAGGCGGCUACCUGGACAAUUGCUGACGCUCAGGCACAAAAGCGUGGGGAGCAAAAGGG
rnacentral:rRNA from 1 species